rnacentral:rRNA from 1 species
ACGAACGCUGGCGGCGUGCCUAAUACAUGCACGUAGAACGCUGAAGGAGGAGCUUGCUUCUCUGGAUGAGUUGCGAACGGGUGAGUAACGCGUAGGUAACCUGCCUGGUAGCGGGGGAUAACUAUUGGAAACGAUAGCUAAUACCGCAUAAUAGUAGAUGUUGCAUGACAUUUGCUUAAAAGGUGCAAUUGCAUCACUACCAGAUGGACCUGCGUUGUAUUAGCUAGUUGGUGGGGUAACGGCUCACCAAGGCGACGAUACAUAGCCGACCUGAGAGGGUGAUCGGCCACACUGGGACUGAGACACGGCCCAGACUCCUACGGGAGGCAGCAGUAGGGAAUCUUCGGCAAUGGACGGAAGUCUGACCGAGCAACGCCGCGUGAGUGAAGAAGGUUUUCGGAUCGUAAAGCUCUGUUGUAAGAGAAGAACGAGUGUGAGAGUGGAAAGUUCACACUGUGACGGUAUCUUACCAGAAAGGGACGGCUAACUACGUG